AGCCAGACUCCUACGGGAGGCAGCAGUGAGGAAUAUUGGUCAAUGGGCGGAAGCCUGAACCAGCCAAGUCGCGUGAGGGAAUAAGGCCCUAUGGGUCGUAAACCUCUUUUGUCAGGGAGCAAAGGCGUCCACGAGUGGACGAAAGGAGAGUACCUGAAGAAAAAGCAUCGGCUAACUCCGUGCCAGCAGCCGCGGUAAUACGGAGGAUGCGAGCGCUAUCCGGAUUUAUUGGGUUUAAAGGGUGCGUAGGCGGGGUGUCAAGUCAGCGGUAAAAUCGCGGGGCUCAACCUCGCGCCGCCGUUGAAACUGGCGCUCUUGAGUGGGCGAGAAGUAUGCGGAAUGCGUGGUGUAGCGGUGAAAUGCGUAGAUAUCACGCAGAACUCCGAUUGCGAAGGCAGCAUACCGGCGCCCAACUGACGCUGAAGCACGAAAGCGUGGGUAUCGAACAGGAUUAGAUACCCCGGUAUC
rnacentral:rRNA from 1 species